UGGAAACAACAAAACAAAGUAAACUACAGAAAGAAGAAAACAAACUAACAGAAAAGGAAAUAAACUCUAAUGUUUGGAAAAAAAUUCAGCUUCUCUGAUGUGAUAAUCGCCGGAGAAUCCUCCCAAAGUGACGAUCAGUCCUUCCAAAUACUCACCUCUUCUUGAUAUGAGCUAUGUUCGAUAUCGAUCCAGGUAUGGGUUGCAAUCACUUCCACAUCAACAAUUCUCACUGAUGUAAUGAUUCAAAUACCUUUGAAGACUUCUUCUACCUGAAUUAAUCGAUCUAAGCUAGAUCUCAAGUUAUGCGCAAGAAUUUUGGGGACACACUUCAGUCGCCAUCCAGAUUUGAAGACAAGAGCUAUUGAGAUAAGUUUUACCUUUAUAAUUUUAUUACUCAUCUUUGAGAUAUGUUUUGAUACUCAGUCCUUGAUUGUUCUCCUCAACAGGUUGAACCCCACCGGGAUUAAUACCAUUGUUUAAGUCGACUAAUCUCCGACCUUGCAUCGCUCACCCUUUUCCAGGAGACUAAGUUGCUCCACCUUAUGAGACACUAAAGCAUGCAGAGCUUUCAUUGGUGUUGAUUUGAUAGUAUUGAAAUUUGUAAUACUUGCAUUUGUGCAGUCUUGCACCUCCUAGUUCUGCUGGAAUUGGAUCUGCACCUCACCUUCUGCCACCAUCUGCAAAGGUUCCUAGUAUGUUGCCAUUUCCAUGUCUUGUACAAAGACAAUUGCUUUCAUUUCACCCUCCAUCAUAUUACUUGUAUCUUCAGUUUGUUCUUCCCCUAAUUGCUCACUAUUUCGAUCACUUGCAGGUGCAUCACAGGCAGUCCCUACUCUAGUAACAGCCUUCACAGCUGCAUCAUAUACUACUACUGCUCCUCCAUCUAUUUGUUGUACCACAUUUUGCACUAGAGUUCCACCCUCAUCUACCCUUUGCCCUGAAUACUCUUUCAUUUUUAUGUCCAUGCUAUUAUUAUUGUUGUUGGUUUGUUUCUCUUGUUGUGCAAAUACCUCGGUGACCUAUUCCUUGGUUGAUACAUGCUGAUGAAAGUUGUCAUCUAUAAGCGUAUGAUUGUUUUUUUCUA